rnacentral:rRNA from 1 species
AUGUCAAAAAUGGUGGGCCUCCAAUUCUCCUUUAAAUAUCGUCAUGGUCCUGACAACGGUACGAUGGACGCACUGCCUCGUGUUGGGCAUCUUCUCUCCCUUGACGCCCUGUCCAUAUGUCAGCCACUAUGGUUCCAGGAUGUUGCCAACUCUUACGAGACAGAUACAGACAUUCAAGACUUGCUCCAGGGCCUUGCUCUAUCCAGCCCUAACGAGCACGACUACGAAUUGCGUCAAGGUAUCAUCCGCCUCCACGACAUGAUUUGGAUUGGCGCUAAUACCACCCUCCAGACAAAGCUCAUCAAUGCUUUUCAUGCAAGCGCAGUCGGGGGUCACUCUGGCGUGACUACGACAUACCAGUGGGUGAAGAAGUUGUUUGCUUGGAGUGGCAUCAAACAAGCUGUUGAGGAUUUUGUGCGACAGUGCACGGUCUGCCAAGAGGCCAAGAAUGAGCAUAUAAAGACCCCAGACCUACUACAACCCCUACCAAUACCACUGAGCCAUGGCGUGACCUCACCAUGGACUUCAUUGAAGGCCUGCCAGCAUCCGAAGGCUAUAAGAUAA